GGCGGCGCGCCUAACACAUGCAAGUCGAACGAGAGAUGAGGAGCUUGCUCUUCAAAUCGAGUGGCGAACGGGUGAGUAACGCGUGAGGAACCUGCCUCAAAGAGGGGGACAACAGUUGGAAACGACUGCUAAUACCGCAUAAUAUAUAUUUAUCGCAUGGUAGAUAUAUCAAAGAUUUAUCGCUUAGAGAUGGACUCGCGUCCGAUUAGUUAGUUGGUGAGGUAACGGCUCACCAAGACCGCGAUCGGUAGCCGGACUGAGAGGUUGAACGGCCACAUUGGGACUGAGACACGGCCCAGACUCCUACGGGAGGCAGCAGUGGGGAAUAUUGCACAAUGGAGGAAACUCUGAUGCAGCGACGCCGCGUGAGUGAAGAAGUAAUUCGUUAUGUAAAGCUCUAUCAGCAGGGAAGAUAGUGACGGUACCUGACUAAGAAGCUCCGGCUAAAUACGUG
rnacentral:rRNA from 1 species